rnacentral:rRNA from 1 species
CUGAGACACGGUCCAGACUCCUACGGGAGGCAGCAGUGGGGAAUAUUGCACAAUGGGCGAAAGCCUGAUGCAGCAACGCCGCGUGAGCGAUGAAGGCCUUCGGGUCGUAAAGCUCUGUCCUCAAGGAAGAUAAUGACGGUACUUGAGGAGGAAGCCCCGGCUAACUACGUGCCAGCAGCCGCGGUAAUACGUAGGGGGCUAGCGUUAUCCGGAAUUACUGGGCGUAAAGGGUGCGUAGGCGGUCUUUCAAGCCAGAAGUGAAAGGCUACGGCUCAACCGUAGUAAGCUUUUGGAACUGUAAGACUUGAGUGCAGGAGAGGAGAGUGGAAUUCCUAGUGUAGCGGUGAAAU